rnacentral:misc_RNA from 1 species
CUCAGUUGCGUUUUCUUUUCAAUUUUAGUUAUCUUGUUAUCGGUUAAAUUGCCUAUUUGUAUUUUUGUCCUGGUGAAGGUUUUGUGUGUGUUGUUUUAACUCAAACUUGUGCGGGAAUUGGAACCGAACUUGUACUCCCACUAUAACUCCAAAUAAAGCAAAGUUUAAUUAAAUACUCUGAUAGUGGCAAAUCCGCAAGGGAGCCAUUACAAGAAUAACAUAACAUAACAUGUGUGUGUCAAAUACAUGGUAGCGUG